AAUCAACGCUGGCGGCGUGCCUCAGACAUGCAAGUCGAACGGUUAAGACUUUCUUCGGAGAGUGAAUAAAGUGGCGCACGGGUGAGUAACACGUAGGUAAUCUGCCUUUGAGUGGGGAAUAACUCGGGGAAACUCGAGCUAAUACCGCAUAAUGCAGCGGCACCUUCGGGUGAAUAGUUGUUAAAGGAGCAAUCCGCUUAAGAGGAGCCUGCGGCAGAUUAGCUAGUUGGUAGGGUAACGGCUUACCAAGGCGACGAGCUGUGACCGACCUGGGAGGGUGGUCGGUCACACUGACACUGAAUAACGGGUCAGACUCCUACGGGAGGCAGCAGUCGGGAAUUUUGGGCAAUGGGCGCAAGCCUGACCCAGCAACGCCGCGUGAAGGAUGAAAUAUUUCGGUAUGUAAACUUCGAAAGAAUGGGAAGAAUCAAUGACGGUACCAUUUAUAAGGUCCGGCUAACUACGUGCCAGCCGCCGCGGUAACAC
rnacentral:rRNA from 1 species